UGCAGUCGAGCGGACGUCUGGGAGCUUGCUCCCUGAAGUCAGCGGCGGACGGGUGAGUAACACGUGGGCAACCUGCCUGUAAGACUGGGAUAACUUCGGGAAACCGGAGCUAAUACCGGAUAAUUCUUUCCCUCACAUGAGGGAAAGCUGAAAGAUGGUUUCGGCUAUCACUUACAGAUGGGCCCGCGGCGCAUUAGCUAGUUGGUGAGGUAACGGCUCACCAAGGCAACGAUGCGUAGCCGACCUGAGAGGGUGAUCGGCCACACUGGGACUGAGACACGGCCCAGACUCCUACGGGAGGCAGCAGUAGGGAAUCUUCCGCAAUGGACGAAAGUCUGACGGAGCAACGCCGCGUGAGUGAUGAAGGUUUUCGGAUCGUAAAACUCUGUUGUUAGGGAAGAACAAGUACCGGAGUAACUGCCGGUACCUUGACGGUACCUAACCAGAAAGCCACGGCUAACUACGUGCCAGCAGCCGCGGUAAUACGUAGGUGGCAAGCGUUGUCCGGAAUUAUUGGGCGUAAAGCGCGCGCAGGCGGUUCCUUAAGUCUGAUGUGAAAGCCCACGGCUCAACCGUGGAGGGUCAUUGGAAACUGGGGAACUUGAGUGCAGAAGAGAAGAGUGGAAUUCCACGUGUAGCGGUGAAAUGCGUAGAGAUGUGGAGGAACACCAGUGGCGAAGGCGACUCUUUGGUCUGUAACUGACGCUGAGGCGCGA
rnacentral:rRNA from 2 species